rnacentral:tRNA from 1 species
CGGGGCGUGGCUCAGCUUGGCUAGAGCGCUUGAAUGGGGUUCAAGAGGUCACAGGUUCAAGUCCUGUCGCCCCGACCA